GUUAGCGGCACGCUUAACACAUGCAAGUCGAACGAGUAAGCCCUUCGGGGUGGACAGUGGCGCACGGGUGAGGAACACGUAGAUAAUCUACCCCCGAGUGGUGGAUAACGUUCCGAAAGGAACGCUAAUACAGCAUAACACCACGGCUCUUCGGAGUUUUGGCCAAAGCGGAGGACCUCUUCGGAGGCUUCGCGCUUGGGGAUGAGUCUGCGGCCCAUCAGUUAGUUGGUAGUGUAAAGGUCUACCAAGGCUAAGACGGGUAGCUGGUCUGAGAGGAUGGACAGCCACACUGGAACUGAGACACGGUCCAGACUCCUACGGGAGGCAGCAGUGGGGAAUCUUGCGCAAUGGGCGAAAGCCUGACGCAGCGAUGCCGCGUGAGCGAUGAAGGCCUUCGGGUUGUAAAGCUCUGUGGAUGGAGACGAAUAAGUGGUAGUUAAUACCUGCCAUGAUGACGGUGUCCAUUUA
rnacentral:rRNA from 1 species